rnacentral:rRNA from 1 species
ACGGCUCAGUAACACGUGGACAACCUAACCUAAGGUGGGGGAUAACCCCGGGAAACUGGGGAUAAUACCCCAUAGGCUAUGAAUGCUGGAAUGCUUCGUAGUUGAAAGGUGAGCCGCCAUAGGAUGGGUCUGCGGCCGAUUAGGUAGUUGUUGGGGUAACGGCCCAACAAGCCUGUAAUCGGUACGGGUUGUGGGAGCAAGAGCCCGGAGAUGGAUUCUGAGACACGAAUCCAGGCCCUACGGGGCGCAGCAGGCGCGAAAACUUUACAAUGCGGGAAACCGUGAUAAGGGAACUCCGAGUGCCCGUUAAAUCGGGCUGUCCACCAGUUUAAAAAACUGGUGAAGAAAGGGCCGGGCAAGACCGGUGCCAGCCGCCGCGGUAAUACCGGCGGCUCGAGUGGUGGCCACUAUUACUGGGCUUAAAGCGUUCGUAGCUGGUUUGUUAAGUCUCUGGGGAAAUCUUCCGGCUUAACCGGAAGGCGUCUCAGGGAUACUGGCAGACUAGGGACCGGAAGAGGUGAGGGGUACUUCAGGGGUAGGAGUGAAAUCCUGUAAUCCUUGAGGGACCACCUGUGGCGAAGGCGCCUCACCAGGACGGCUCCGACAGUGAGGGACGAAAGCUGGGGGAGCAAACCGGAUUAGAUACCCGGGUAGUCCCAGCCGUAAACGAUGUGCGUUAGGUGUAUCGGUGACCACGAGUCACCGAGGUGCCGAAGAGAAAUCGUGAAACGUACCGCCUGGGAAGUACGGUCGCAAGGCUGAAACUUAAAGGAAUUGGCGGGGGAGCAC